rnacentral:rRNA from 1 species
UGGGGAAUUUUGGUCAAUGGGCGAAAGCCUGAACCAGCAACGCCGCGUGGGUGAUGAAGGCCUUCGGGUUGUAAAGCCCUGUCGGGAGGGACGAAACCUGGGAGUAACGAACCCAGCUGACGGUACCUCCAAAGGAAGCACCGGCUAACUCUGUGCCAGCAGCCGCGGUAAUACAGAGGGUGCAAGCGUUGUUCGGAAUUACUGGGCGUAAAGCGCGUGUAGGCUGUCUUUCAAGUCUCGUGUGAAAGCCCCGGGCUCAACCCGGGAAGUGCGCGAGAUACUGGGAGACUGGAGUGACGGAGAGGAUGGCGGAAUACCCGGUGUAGAGGUGAAAUUCGUAGAUAUCGGGUGGAACACCUGUGGCGAAGGCGGCCAUCUGGAAGUUAACUGACGCUGAGACGCGAAAGCAUGGGGAGCAAACAGG